AAACAGCCCCAAAGUUACUACAGAUAAAAUAACAAUGGCGCGCAAAUUUGCAGGUAUGGGCGAGCUGAUGUGAAGAGGCGGAGAGGUUGAGUGGCAGGAGUUGCAUGGCUCGACGGCCGGUGUUGACCAUUUACAUUGGCGCUCUCUUGCCGGUGACGACGACCAACGGCGCCACCACACCGUGCGCCCUCCUGCUCAGGUCUUCCCGUCACCUCGAUCGAGAGGGCACCCCUGCCCCGGCCUAGCUGCAGGAAAACACAAGGCUGUCAUUGUUGUUGUAUGAGUUCGUCGACACACUUCUGCCAUUUGGAGCAGCUGGAGGAGUGGAUGGGUCAGAAAGAUAGGUGGGCAAGUUCUCGGAGCAGUACACCCGCUGGUCCAGCAUCACCUUUUCCUGCUCUGCCACCUCGUUUGUCGUGAAGGUUCUGAAGAAUGGUGAUGAGGUGAAGUUGCACAGGAAUGCUUUGGGUGUCUUGCAAGCUCCUAAUCUAGCUGAGAAUAUUUGUACCUGCCCAGUGGAGUUUCUGCUGGUGCUACCGACAUCAACUACGACCUGCUGCCCAUGCCUUCGUUGACGGGGAUGUCUCCUACAGCACUGCGUCCCCAAUCGGCGUGCCACAGAAGAUCUUGCUUUCUACCUCGGUUUGUACUAUAUCAUGGUUCUUCAGGAGAAGGACCUGGAUGUUCACACUGAGAAGGGCAUACAACAUAACCAGAAGGUCACCUUCCAUGGAGAAGAUGAAGCGCCUGAUACUGUUAACGGAGACAUUGUAUUCGUCAUCCAGUAGAAGGAACUCCUGAAGUUCAAAAGAAAGGGCAAUGGUCUCUUCUAUGAGCACACCUUGUCUCUCACUGAAGCUCUUUGUGUGUUUCAACUUGAGUCAGCUGCUCAUUAAGUUAAACCCUGGUGACCCACAUCUGUGGACGACGGUUGCCGUGCUGACUGGCUUUGUCUUCAAGAAAGUGCCUGUAUGGUGGUGCUCCAAAGGGCCCUCAGCUUAGAGAUCUUCAGCUUGGGGCAGAUAUUGUGAUGAUAUUCUGGAGAUGAUGAAGCUGAACGCAUGCUUGACAUUGGUUUUGAGCCACAAACAUGGAGGAUUGUGGAUGAGAUUCCUCGUUGCAGACAGACUCUGAUGUACACUGCCACUUGGCCAAAAGAGGUUACAAAGAUAUCUGGUGAUUAUUGAGAGAUCCUGUCCAGAUCAAUAUUGGAAGCAUCGAUGAACUUGCUGACAACAAAUCCAUCACAGUAUGUAGAGAUGGUUCCAUCAAUGGAUAAGCAACACCGUUUGGAGCAGAUUUUUAGAGCUGAAGAAAGGGGUUCAAAGAUCAUUAUAUUUUGCUCAACAGAGAAAAUAUGUGACCAGCCUUCUCGUGGCAGUGUCAUUGUCUUGGUGGUUCACACGGUGAUAAAUUACAGUUACCAUAUUCUCAAUCAAUUUUGGACUGGUCAUGUUCUAGUACUAGUAGCCACUGAUGUCGAGGAUGGAUGAUGCUAUCAACUUACUCUUGGUUUUUAAGGCAAGCACCUGUCCAAGGCAUGGUAUUUAUUUGUUGCCACUGGCUUGUUGAUUUUUGCUGGUUCUGGCCUAUGGAUCCCAGCGUUGUGCCUUCGAAUUCAUGUAAUGCCGCUAUGAAGCAGCUUCAGACAUUAGCUCAGGAGCCUCAUCGAUGCAGAGCAGUGAACAGCUCCCAGUGCUUUUGGUUUAUUCUGUGCCCUUUAUCUACCUGCCAGGUGAACAGACCGCCGCAAGCUCUGGAGCAUGCCUGUACUUUGUCGAGACCUUCCCAUGCUCUCAUACUUCCUUUUUGGUGAACUCUUGGAUCAGGUACAUGAAGUCGAACAAGGACUACCCUAGGAUUGUCGCCCAGCUUGGCAGCGUGGGUCUCUCUGAGCUCCUGCUGGUGGUUGCCCGGGCUGUUGCUACUGGCGUCCACCUGGAGCUGGCUAUGUCCGCUGGCCAACCCUCAACUUAGACUACAUCUGCCUCUCUACCGUGCGAUGGUGGCAAGUUCACUGCGGUGCAACCGUGGCAGCGGUGGCUUCUUCGUCGACACCAUGGUUUAGGUUUGCAUGGUAGAUGGCAUGCUCUCAAGAUACCACCCACAUUAGUGAUAGGAUGUGCAUGCAGCAGGUUGCUGUGGCCCAUCUCGUGAAGGGGAGGAGUUGAGCUGGAGAUCCGGCCGGACAUGCUUUCUUUGUUGAUUUCAUUGACGCAGUGCCGUGUUCACUGCCUGUUAGGUUAAUAAUUAGUUGCCUGUGGACUGCUGUCCUUGUUUGGCCUGGAGCAUCUACGUGGACAGAAGGUCCUUUUUUUAUGUAAUGUUGGUAUUAGAAAUUUCUUCGGCUGAUCGUAUUCAACCUAGAGGGAGAGACCGAUGUGGGUUCUUUGUAUGCCAAAACUGAGAGAAUUAACAUUUCACAAUGUUGAGAGAUGCACAUACUGCUUGUUUUGUUUUCUUCUUCAUUGCUGUAUUGAUGUAGAAUCGACACAUUUUUGAAUGUGUGGAACA